GAUGAACGCUAGCGGCAGGCUUAAUACAUGCAAGUCGUGGGGCAGCAGGUCUGUAGCAAUACAGAUGCUGGCGACCGGCAAACGGGUGCGGAACACGUACACAACUUUCCUUUAAGUGGGGAAUAGCCCAGAGAAAUUUGGAUUAAUACCCCGUAACAUAGUGAAAAGGCAUCUUUUUAUUAUUAUAGCAGCAAUGCGCUUAAUGAUGGGUGUGCGUCCGAUUAGGUAGUUGGCGGAGUAAUAGCCCACCAAGCCUACGAUCAGUAACUGGUGGGAGGGCACAACCAGUCAGACGGGAACUGAGACACGGGCCCGACUCCUACGGGAGGCAGCAGUAAGGAAUAUUGGGCAAUGGACGCAAGUCUGACCCAGCCAUGCCGCGUGGAGGAUGAAGGUCCUCUGGAUUGUAAACUUCUUUUAUCUGGGAAGAAAUCCAUCUUUUCUUGGGUGGUUGACGGUACCAGAUGAAUAAGCACCGGCUAACUCCGUGCCAGCAGCCGCCGUAAAAC
rnacentral:rRNA from 1 species